AGGAAGAUGGGGGGAGGGGAACCCUCCUAGAGAGAUUUUUAAAGUGAGGUUUUUUUAGGUUAAUGCCAUUUUCUUCCUGUCUUACUCGCUUAUGACAACCCCAAUGAAGUUUUAAGCUGGACUCUGGCAGUAAUGUUAAGUAGAGAUUUUCUCGGCCAACUUCAUAUUAUUUAGGGUUCUAUUCUUCCUUCACCUUGAACACAGAUGUGCCAUUCUCUGCUUGGAUGCACACAGAAUAUUCUUGCUCACAGAAUAACUCAGUUGAAGCCCUGAGCAUGUAAAAGGAGGCCUCUCUUAGCAGCUGGGAAGAGAGAGUGGAGAGAAAGAGGGAUCAGGACAGAUGUGGACACGGCAGAAGAAGAGGAGCCUGCUGUGACGGACUUCCUUGAAAUGACAAACAAGUAAAUAUUUAAGGGAAUAAGUAAAACCAAAAGAAGGACUCAUGGGUUGGAAGAAUGGAAGGAGAAGGAAAAGGCAGAUGGGAUAGGGAUAGACAUUGAAGAUUGCAAACAGGCUAGUAGCAAAGAAAGCAAAAACAAACAGGGUUUUUAGAAGCCAGAUAAACCUUGGAUUCCUGGUGUUGUCACUUCUGAGCUAUCUCUGUUACCUUAGAUGUUUAUUUCUAAUGAAUUGGACAU
rnacentral:lncRNA from 10 species